UCGAGAGCCAUGUCUCGUAGUAGCUUGGAGACUACAAAAGUUUCCCUGGCAGCAUGAAUGAUCUACCACAACGUGCUCUUGCCUUUCGGAGUUGCCCUCCAAUUUUUCUAAGCCCGAUUCUGUAAAUCAUUUCAUCUCGCACAAAGACCCAGCUGGGAGCGUUGGUGAUCUCAAAGGGGAGGGUUAUUUAAAGCUCCAUUUAAGAAUCUAGCCUCCCUUCAACAGAUUAACGCAGCUCAAAUAUGUGACCAAACGUGUUUUUCUGUGCAUAUGCCAAUGGGCAGGUAGCUCUGGGGCCUUUGAGAGGAAGUAGGAUGUGCCUCUACUCCGGGCGACUUUGGAAAAAGUGACUUCUCUGUGUAUUGACAACUAAUUUAUCAUUGGAAGCACGAAAGGAAACAGACACUGAGAGAUGUGAGAGUAAACCUUUUCAAGGUACAAUUAAUCUGUGCCUGAGCUUGUAAAGGAAUCACGGCUUUCAAACUCUGAGACAGGUGCUCCUUCAAUGCACCAGGCUGCCUUGCCUACUGCCUACGAGAAAGCAUCGUGGAGGGCACCCCAUCUGCCUCUUUGCAGUGACUCUCAGGGAUUUUCCUUAAGGGGGUUGAGCUUCUGAUUAUUCCCUCUACAACCCUGCAUUUCGGGGCCAUUUUCUUCUGCAUUUCACCUUGGUGGUGAUAUCAUCCCUGUCUGUAUCAGGGGAAGGGAGGGAUUAAUGAAAAUAAAGGUCAGUCCUUCCCUAUCUCCUUUGGGGCCAUGUCAUCUUAGUUUUGAUCAUUUCCCCCAAAUUAAGAUUUCUGUAUAAACCCCUCAUGUGUGUGUUUGGCUGGCAGUUUUAUGGCUGACCAAAUUUUGCACUGGCCAGUGUUCUGGUUGGCUGAAUGUUUACACAGGCUGUUAAUCAGAUGGGGAGGGAGGAGUGGAUGUGGGGACUGUCUGUGAGCCGGAGUGGUCCUGUUUGCUGUCGUGUGCAAGGGCCUGCACUUUGUUACUACAAAUUACAUAAUGACAUGUUACAUUUCAAAGUGUAUUUUUACUUCAGGGAAAAUUAAACCAAUAAACAAACAACUCUGGUGGAAAAAAAAAAAGAGGAAAAAAAAUGAGAUCCCUGGUUUCCAGAUCUUCCUCUUCCAAAAGGUUCUUAAUUAAAUUGUAGCUAUAAACAAAUCUUUGUUUUAUUGAAAAGAGAGCAAUUGCAUAUAAAAGCUAUUUUUGAAAAUUAGGAUUCGAGCGUUUGCUGGACUAGGGUCUGGCCCAUGUUAUGUGUUUUAUGAUCUGUCCAAAAUGAAAAGGCAGGCUCGUGUAGUGAUGGUAGAUUUUCAAUUUUUGAUUGCUAAUCCCUCUCAAAUGUUGCUCCUGCCCUGCUUGAAAGGAGUAUGUAAACACAGGAAUUCUCCUAGUUUUUCCAGGUACUGAUUCAAGCAAAGCUGCUUAGCGUAAGGAUGAACCUGUCGACUCUGGAUUCUUGGUCACGCGGGAAAUCAGGUGUAUUCAGCAGCACACUAUCUACAUUUUAGCAACUUUGAAGCAGUUAAAAAAAAAAAAAAAUCAACCCCUCUAAAUCAACUUCCAAGCCUUUCACUCACACCUACAAAUUCAAGAUGAGUUUUUUUUCUGUAAGCUAUUGAAAUCAGAAUGUGCCCUGGAUCCAAGGUUAUGGUGAUAGCCCUUCUGGGUAAUAGUCAUGUGCAUACGUGGUUCAAUUCUGCAUUUAUAGGUUCCCCACCGCCACCCUCACCCCGCCCCGCCCCGCUACCUGAAAGUAGCACGUUCCUAUGAAACCCUUUAUAAGCUGAAAUGGCAUAAAGCGAAUAAGCAAUUACCAUUAAUUUAUAUGAAAAAUUUUUUGAGCAUUCCCAGACCCAAAAUAUAACCUCUCUUAGGCUUUUCUGAUACCUUGGGACACAUCUUGCUAACUAUACACAAAAUAAAUCAAGAGAAAGCACAGAUGCUCACAGACACAGUUCAAAGCUGUGGCGGCUUGCUGCUGAGAUGCUGAGUGUGCUUCUCAGGAAGGAGUUUGGUGGGACCGUUCUCGCUGCUGGGGGUGCACACCGCCUCUGUUUCUAGCUCCCAGCAAAACCAGCACUGAAUGCUAUUUUUGCUCCCCUCCCGCCUUUUUUAAAAAAUAAAAGUGAAAAUCCUCUUUGGAUUUUUUCAGUUAGUGACGACAGGUACUAAUGUAGGUCUUUUGUUAAAGUAACGUAGUGUAAUGUAAACUUUCGAGAAGUGGGGGGUACUUGCAUGUGCUGGUUCCAACACUUUUCUUCAGAAUAAACUACGUUAUCAAAAGAGAAUGUGUCCUCACUGUCUUUCUGCUGGUUAUGUGGAGUACUGAGAAUAAAGACACGUAUUAAACUGCAUGGUAAGGGAAUUAUUUCACCAAAUCAAUCUCGCCCACAUCUGCUGUUAUCCGAACCAUCUGACCCGGAAUUCACUGGGUUUGUUCAGGUGUUUGGCUGCUACUAGGAAUUGCCACAGCCCGGUAAGUGGCUGCAUGAAUUGUCCCUUUUAUAUUUUAACCAUAUUCCACGAGGCUUACGUGUCUUAGGCGAAAUUACGAUGUGAUUUAGGAUAAUUUAUCAGUACAAUCCACAACAUGAGAAAUCACAAGAGCAGCUGAGAAGAACUGUCUACAUCUUCCUAUUGAGUUUGUUUAUUCUUAAACUCAGGAUGUUUAAAAAGAGAACUUUUCUCCUCAAAUCUUAGAGACGAUAAUGGGGUUUUGAACCUUACAAUUAAAAUUUCAGAUUUUUCAAUGACUGAAAAAACUUAGGAAGAAGAAAGGAUAACAAAAUAAAGGGCAGAUACAUAGUGUAGGUUUUUGUUUUUGUUUUUUUUUGAUAAAAGGAAACCAUUUUAGGCAAUGCUAUUUGGUAACAGUAGCCAUGUAAAUGCGCAGCACCCUGUUUUAUUUUGUGGCCAAAAAAAUACACUUUCCUCUGUCUCAUCUUGGAUCCUUGACAGUUCCAUGUGAAUAAUCAAUUUAGAUUAAUACUUAUGAAGGUUCUCAACCCCUGAACCAGACCGACCAUCGGCCAUUCAAGUAGUUUUGUUUUUGACUUCAGGCGUCUUAGCGCGAGGACUGCUGUCUGGGGGCAUUCUACUGGGGUUUGGCCUUGACUUUAGAGCUGCAGAAAAGACCAGAUUUUUCACUACUGUCACCAAACAGCCAAGGGAAGUGAAGAGUCAGAUAUUAAUCAAGGGCUUUCAUCCUGUGAAUGACUAAUCCAGUAAGAAAGAAGAUUUUGAGCCAAGCAGUAAUCUAUCAAUGGACCAAUAAUCCACAGUGUGCCUGUGAAUGGGUUAGAUGCUUUCAUCUUGGUUUUUGGCUUAGCUAGCAUUUGACGUGGUAGAUGGGAGGGAAAGUCACAUCAUAGCUUGUUGAAUGAAUGAGUGAAAAUGGGUAAUGUAACAAUAAUAAUAAUAAUGAGGUCCUUUACUCUCAUUUUUUGAUAGGACGCCAUUAAUUUACCCAUGGUGACAACUACUCUCUUCUGCCUGUUUUGCCUUCCAUGUCAUGGUUUGCAUCAAGGCUCCAGGGGAAGCUCACCAUCAGCACCACAGAUACCCUGCACAAAGCCAGACACGGGAAAGAGAGAGGCUUAAGGUAGAAGGAAGGGUGAAAGUUCAACUUUCAGAUGGCAGUUCGGCUGUAGACAACAGAAGGAGAAAGUGGUGGCCAUGUUGUUUCUUUCACCUUCAACCUCGAAUUUAAGUCCUGAAAUGUAUCUGCUUCUGUUUCUAUCAAUCUGUCUCUGGAUCACUGAUCAUCCAUCCACCUAUCUAUCUAUCAUUUAUCUCUCUCUCUCUAACAAAUCUAUCACCUGUCAUUUAUCAAUCAUCUAUCUAUCAUCUAUCAGCUAUUUCCUAUUUUUCUAUCUAUUCCUUCAUUUCUCUCCCUUUCUCCUUUUUUCCUUUUCAAAAAUAAAACUGGUACUAAUGCAGAAGUCUGAAAUUAGACCUUAAAAGCUAUCACUACUCUUAUUUUCAAGGGGUGGAGUUUUUUCUAACUUGUCUGGCUUUAACUUUCCUAUUCUCUUCUGACAUUUGUCCUUAUUGCUACAUGUCAGAGAACCUCUUUGAAAAUUCUUCUGUUUAAUGGGGUUCAGGGAAAUAAAAAUCUACUUUAAAAAAGAUAAAAUGAAGCUGA